UCGAUAGUCAUUAGUCCCGGGCUUGUG
rnacentral:misc_RNA from 1 species